rnacentral:sRNA from 1 species
CUGCGCCCAGAGACGUGGGAGCGUUCUCUUGUUUUCCGAGUGCGCAGACUCAUCGGGUCACAGUUUAUGCUUUUAUGACGCGGGAACACAACAGAUUUGAGAAGCCUCGGAUUAAGGAAUAAUUUAUGAAGCUCCGUUGACUACCGUGGAGAGAUCAUAAUUUGGGGUUCAAGAUUCCAGUCUGUGUUUUUGCAGAGGUGCCCUGAGGAGCAGGGAAGCAUGGCUAUUGUGGAUGUAAAAGCCAUGUUCAAGCCAGGUAUGGUGGUAUGUGCCUGCAGUCCCAGCUACUGGGGAGGCUGAGAUGGGAGGAUCCACUUGAGCCCAGGAGGUCAAGUCCAGCCUGGACAACUAUCAAGACCCCAUCUCUAAAAAUAAAUAAAUAACAUUUUAAAAAAGAUUGAAA